UUGAAAGUAGGAAGUUUUAAUUUUAGAUAAUCGUUUAGCUAAAAACCUGUGCGGAAGUUGUUUAAAAGUUUUUCCAUACGAAUAUAGUGAUUAAAUAUAAAAAUGAAACUCUUGUUAUAAUUUUUGAAUUUUUUAUUCACAAAAAAAAAAGAGAGAAAUCUAGCAAUUUUUCAGUAUUCGUCACUUACUACUUAUUAAAUUCACCAAAAUGUUUUCUACGAUUUU
ensembl:ncRNA F59C12.8 ncRNA